rnacentral:rRNA from 1 species
UUAAAUUGAAGAGUUUGAUCAUGGCUCAGAUUGAACGCUGGCGGCAGGCCUAACACAUGCAAGUCGAACGGUAACAGGAAACAGCUUGCUGUUUCGCUGACGAGUGGCGGACGGGUGAGUAAUGUCUGGGAAACUGCCUGAUGGAGGGGGAUAACUACUGGAAACGGUAGCUAAUACCGCAUAACGUCGCAAGACCAAAGAGGGGGACCUUCGGGCCUCUUGCCAUCGGAUGUGCCCAGAUGGGAUUAGCUAGUAGGUGGGGUAACGGCUCACCUAGGCGACGAUCCCUAGCUGGUCUGAGAGGAUGACCAGCCACACUGGAACUGAGACACGGUCCAGACUCCUACGGGAGGCAGCAGUGGGGAAUAUUGCACAAUGGGCGCAAGCCUGAUGCAGCCAUGCCGCGUGUAUGAAGAAGGCCUUCGGGUUGUAAAGUACUUUCAGCGGGGAGGAAGGGAGUAAAGUUAAUACCUUUGCUCAUUGACGUUACCCGCAGAAGAAGCACCGGCUAACUCCGUGCCAGCAGCCGCGGUAAUACGGAGGGUGCAAGCGUUAAUCGGAAUUACUGGGCGUAAAGCGCACGCAGGCGGUUUGUUAAGUCAGAUGUGAAAUCCCCGGGCUCAACCUGGGAACUGCAUCUGAUACUGGCAAGCUUGAGUCUCGUAGAGGGGGGUAGAAUUCCAGGUGUAGCGGUGAAAUGCGUAGAGAUCUGGAGGAAUACCGGUGGCGAAGGCGGCCCCCUGGACGAAGACUGACGCUCAGGUGCGAAAGCGUGGGGAGCAAACAGGAUUAGAUACCCUGGUAGUCCACGCCGUAAACGAUGUCGACUUGGAGGUUGUGCCCUUGAGGCGUGGCUUCCGGAGCUAACGCGUUAAGUCGACCGCCUGGGGAGUACGGCCGCAAGGUUAAAACUCAAAUGAAUUGACGGGGGCCCGCACAAGCGGUGGAGCAUGUGGUUUAAUUCGAUGCAACGCGAAGAACCUUACCUGGUCUUGACAUCCACAGAAGUUUUCAGAGAUGAGAAUGUGCCUUCGGGAACCGUGAGACAGGUGCUGCAUGGCUGUCGUCAGCUCGUGUUGUGAAAUGUUGGGUUAAGUCCCGCAACGAGCGCAACCCUUAUCCUUUGUUGCCAGCGGUCCGGCCGGGAACUCAAAGGAGACUGCCAGUGAUAAACUGGAGGAAGGUGGGGAUGACGUCAAGUCAUCAUGGCCCUUACGACCAGGGCUACACACGUGCUACAAUGGCGCAUACAAAGAGAAGCGACCUCGCGAGAGCAAGCGGACCUCAUAAAGUGCGUCGUAGUCCGGAUUGGAGUCUGCAACUCGACUCCAUGAAGUCGGAAUCGCUAGUAAUCGUGGAUCAGAAUGCCACGGUGAAUACGUUCCCGGGCCUUGUACACACCGCCCGUCACACCAUGGGAGUGGGUUGCAAAAGAAGUAGGUAGCUUAACCUUCGGGAGGGCGCUUACCACUUUGUGAUUCAUGACUGGGGUGAAGUCGUAACAAGGUAACCGUAGGGGAACCUGCGGUUGGAUCACCUCCUUACCUUAAAGAAGC